UCUCUCUCUCUCUCUCUCUGUAUACAUAUUGUCUUUCACUGAAUCUUCGUUCGCAAACGGCGUCGAUCUUUUGCAAACUGAUUCUGGCCUCACGUUCUCAGAUCGCGAGGCUCAACCCAAGAGACUGCUGGUACUGGUUGGCUUGGAGCUAUAUUACUAAUCCUUCUUGUGCUUUUCAAUACCCUGUAAGCUAUUAAUUGUUAUUUCCUUUGUAUUGCUUUGUUCUGUAUAUAUCUUCUUUGUGUUCUUCAGGAUUAAAUAUGAGUCCCAUCUCUGUCUUUGAUUUGCAACAUUCAACAUUGUGUGUGAGUUUUAAUUGGCUAUGAGAAGUGGUUCAGGUAGCUCAGAGGACUGAAUUAUUCCACUUCCAAGCGGGAAAAGGGUCCAAGAACACAUAGCCCAGAGCGAGCCCCAUUUAUCUACAAACUAGUAUCACGACAAAGGAAAACUCUCUGAAAGCCGUAAAUAUAGUUAAACUAUCAGUUUCCCUAUCAAAUAAAAUGUGACCAACCUUAGGAGUUACGGCACUGGGACAGCCCUUAAUACUCGAUGCAAAAGUUUCCACACUGACUUGGCCUAACCCACAGCCCACACUACUUCAAAGAUUUUGAUAUCAGCCCAUCCUAUUCCAAACUUGCUGUCAAAAGUGAGCUAUGCAAAAGAAGACAAUGUGCACAAAUGCAACACCAAUCCAUCAUGAAACCAAACCAAUUUACCAAAACCUUCGUAUGAGGUGGCCAGUGAAGGUAUGGGUGGAUAUUAUAAUGAAGAAGAAGGGACCCAGUUAUGGCAAAUUAUCCGGCGACUACCCGCAUAUCCCAAUAUGGUCGUCUUCCUACAGCCGAGUACCUACACUUUAUUGGCUUAAGACCUGAUGAACUCUGUGGCAUGUCUUUUUGUCUCUCUCGUUUAUUUACUCUCUCUUGUUGUCUGGUUCAUGGGACUUUUACUUGUCAUCUACUAAGUAUUUGUUUUGUACUUUAAUAGACGUAAAUUACUUGUCAGAGUAAUGAAACAGUUAAACACCAAGGGAACAUCAAAGUAGCUAAAAUUCUAUGUUCUACAUUAAAACAGGGACAUGACGUGGACAUGAGCCUGUGGACAAUGGACCACAAGGACAGCAUAUACGAUUCCACCAUUUUAAUGUCUUCAGUCAUUCAUCUAUGAUCUAUGGUCGAUGAGCUUCAUCUGAGCUUAUUCUUGCUCCUUUUUUGUCUUCUUUCCCAAACAGCCUUUACAUGUGCAAUACCGGGGUGUCUUCUGAAUCUUCUCCUCCCCUAUAUCAGUCUGCUGCACCCAUAAGAAAGUUAAAGACCCCCUGCUUUUUCAUUCGGAUGGUUUUUGCAACAAAAGUCAUAGAUGCCCUUUUGUACAUGGACCACAUGAAGAUGGUACGCCUGCUUGAAAAUCCUUAAAGACAGCUUCUGCAACUCCCCUGGAAGAUAAGACAUCCGCGGUAAGUGACACCAGAUCUGCACCAGUAGAAAUACUUCCUAAUCCAUCUGAAUCUGCUUCCAUGAGAGCAACAGAACUACAGAUUAAGCCAAAACCAUAUGUCCACUUAUCAACUCAUACUAACACUGAGAAUCAAAGCGCUUCUCUUGUUUUGUCCACAUCUCAGUGUGAAGAAGCUCCAGUAGUAAGGUCAGAAACACUGCUUCUAGGGACAGAUUUAGUACGAAGCAGAUCUCUUGUGUGCACUGAUCAAAGCUUGGAAGAGGAUGCAGUUGAUAGUUUUUUAGAGAGGGAGGACUCUUACAAUUGUCUCCUGGUUUAAUGGUUUUGAUGUUCUUGCGGAUGAUGAUAGAUUGCAGAACUUGGGCUAUGAAGAGGAUCUAGAAUACUUACUUUCCAUUGAUGGAGAUGAUUAUGAAGAUUUAGUUGAGGAUGAUCCUACGUAUCCUGAGGCACGAUUGUAUUAUAAGCAAGAAAGAUAUGAUUCUUCUUAUCAAUUUGAUCAUAGGGAGAUAUUUGAUUGCAUCGGAGAAUUUCACGAGCGCUCAAGGGAAAAUGAACGGUUUUGAUUACAGAGAUCAACCGGAAUGAGCUCACAAUUUGUCAAAUUCACGUUUUCAGAGUACUUCGCAAGUUGAAAAUCUGAAGUAUUAAUGACUGCGGGCGACAUCGUUUCUGAGAAACCUCCCGUUUCAAUAUGCGAGCUUCAAAUGAAAGGCGGCCGAUGCCCUUUUAACAAAGCUCGCAUCUGUCAUAUGCAAGUUUCUAAUGAGUGCCACUACCUGAAGCUAACCCGUACAGUCUUCGUCCCCAUUUCCGGUUUCCCCCAAGAUCUCUCUGUCUCUCUCUCUGUAUACAUAUUGUAUUCGCUGAAUCUUGGUUCACAAACAGACGUCGAUCCUUGCAAACCGAUUCUAGCCUCACAUUGUCAGGUAGUUUUGCUACGACACCCAUAGCACAAAGUGAGGAUAUCUUUGUAUGUUUUCUUUUUCGUCUGCAAAAUAGCAAAUGCAGGAUAUUGCGUCAUGGGCUAAAGGAUAUCACCAAUUCGUUGGCCAAUAGGAAGAGUAUAGGGUAGCAGUCAUAGAGAGAGGAAAUAGAAGGGAGAUUUGAAGUGAUAAUCUUUGUAACUUUAUAUACGGAAAAAGUGCUAAUAUCACAUCCCAAAUUAAGCUCAAUUGUGAUGAGCACGUCAAUCAGAAUGUCCACUCUAGUGCACUUCAAUUGAAGAACAAUGCUGCACUUCACAGAUGUCCAUCCAUCAUCAAUGCCAUUUCCUUCCUAUGAUAAGGUUUGAAGCUGUCAUGGACUCUACUCAAGGAAUAUUCAAUUUCAGAGGUUGGAGAAGGAAAUGGAUAUGCUGCAACUUUAGUUGAAUCAACUGCAAGUCUUGGGUAAAACAGCUACGGGUGGGGGUAUGAGCAAGUAGAUAUGAUGCAACUUAAGUUGGGAUCUACUUCAAGUCUUGGAUAAUACAGUUAUGUGUACCAAACCAAACCUCUUAUGAAGGGUAGUGAGCUUUGUGCGAGGGG